UCUUUGGAUGUGUACACAGAGGAGCUACUAUCAGUGCAAACCUAGUAUGGAAAUGGAAAAAAGGAGCUGACCAACUCAGAUUUUGUGUGAUGAGCCAAGAUCAUAUUAACAGAGGACUGCAUGAGAUUUGCCUGUGCUGGAGAAAUAGGAAUUAAUGAAGGAAUAGAAAUGGAAUGGAUUGAAUUUGGG